CAGAGGCAUCCCAUGGGAGUUGGAAACUGAAGCAUGGUAGAGAAAUUCAUCAUGGGAGGGAGGAGCUGAAAACCUGAGCAGAGUGUAAGAUCCAAGAGGUCAUGGGCCUUUUUCUUUCUUUCUUUGCCAUGUUAUCUCCAACAUCUGGAACAGAGUCUGGCACAAAGGCUUCCGUGAAUUUGGAGAUUUUCCUGAGCUGGGAGGUGACCAAACAUAUCUACUCCUUUGAUCUCAACACUUCCUGAAAAACAGAUACUAACAACCAAGAUUUUCAGAGAGGCAAGGCUAAGCACCAGCCAGCUAUAAAAUAUCCCAAAUUGUCUGGGCCACAGUAAGAGAAGCUUUGGUGCUUUCAGCCACCCGGGCCGUCUAAGUUGUCCAGAUCUUCCAACACAGACCCCAUGCCUAAUGCAUCCCUGCUUCACAAGCUGAUCCCCAGAGGAAGAACUGUACCAAACCAUCCAGGUCCUCCAUCUUCCAACCCCAAAAUUCAUCCAGAAUGUACCAGGAUGGGGCCUAGAAGUCAACUUCAAACUUUGAUCUUCAAUCCUACAAACAAUGAUCAUCUCAGAAAACUUAGGGCAAAAGUAAAUAUGCAUGGAUUUACAAAAAUCUCACUCUUUCACCCAAGUUCUUUUUUAGUAGGCAUUACAAAAAACUGGCCAGAAAUCCCACCCUGGGAAAUCUAAUAGAAAUAAAAGCUCUUAUACAUAAGG